GAUGAACGCUGGCGGCGUGCCUAAUACAUGCAAGUCGAGCGAAGCGGGGACGGGUGAGUAACACGUGGAUAACCUCCUAUAAGACUGGGAUAACUUCGGGAAACCGGAGCUAAACCGGCUACUUAUAGAUGGAUCCGCGCUGCAUUAGCUAGUUGGUAAGGUAACGGCUUACCAAGGCAAAGAUGCAUGGCCGACCUGGGAGGGGGAGAAGCCACACCGGAACGGAGAAACGGUCCAGACUACUACGGGAGGCAGCAGAAGGGAAUCUAACGCAAUGGGAGAAAGGCUGACGGAGCAAAGCCGAGUGAGUGAUGAAGGUAUGCGGAUAGUAAAACUCUGUUAUUAGGGAAGCGGUACCUAAUCAGAAAGCCACGGCUAACUACGUGCCAACAGCCGCGGUAAUUC
rnacentral:rRNA from 1 species